rnacentral:rRNA from 1 species
UACGUAGGGUGCGAGCGUUGUCCGGAAUUACUGGGCGUAAAGAGCUCGUAGGCGGCUUGUCGCGUUGUUCGUGAAAAUUUAUCGCUCAACGGUGAACUUGCGGGCGAUACGGGCAGGCUAGAGUACUGCAGGGGAGACUGGAAUUCCUGGUGUAGCGGUGAAAUGCGCAGAUAUCAGGAAGAACACCGGUGGCGAAGGCGGGUCUCUGGGCAGUAACUGACGCUGAGGAGCGAAAGCGUGGGGAGCGAACAGG